AUGAUUGACGAUGCUACCUACCAAUGCCUUGUGAGUUCCACCAACACGACCAAGCACGGUUCAUUUCAGCCACACACAUACAGUACGAGCGAGGCAGGCACAUACCAAGCACGGUCCAUUUCAGUCACACACAUACGAGCGAGGCAGGCACAACUCUGGCGCUCAGCUCAGCUCACAAUGGUCUGCACUCUGCACCGCAGUCAUGCCCCAGAGUUUUACACUACAUAUGUACAGUUACAUAGCAGCAGUGCAAUCAUCAGACAGCUUGCCUGUGAUACACCGUGCGGCUACCACUUAUUACAUCUUCUUGCCAACUCCCACUUAAUCACUUGGCAGGACGAGUCAGGCCGCCGCGUCGUCCACCUGCUGCCUGCGCCGCUUAUUGGACUCCUUGAUCUUCAGCAGCUCGUCGCAGACGAUCCACGGGAAGCUCCAGAACUGCUUCUUUCCAGGCCGGCGGUGGUCCGGGUGAUAGGUCACCCGGUACCACGCCGAGGCCCUCCUCGCCGCCUCCGCCUUCGGGCAGCUCAUGAACCAACCCCGCACCUCCUUGUGCAGGCCCUCGACAGAGUCGAUGAUGCGGUCCUUCAUCUCGAAGUACCUCUUGUUGUCCUUCUUCAAGUACAGGAGCCUGUUCCGGAUGUUGCCAGUCAGGAUCUCGUCCUCGUGCUCCGUGCCGUAGUAGACCAUCAGGGUGCUCAGCUUCUCCACGUACAGGUCAUAGCACUCCUCUGCGGAUGCCAGGAAUUCCUCGAAGCCAGGGACCUCCAGGUCGGGAUCAAACGCGGGGCUCGGUUGAGCCGAGGACGAGGUGGCAGGAGCGCUCUGCAUACGGCUCGCAGCCGCUCGGUAGAGCUUGCCGAGAGCUCCGUCGGAGAUGUACGUUGGUUUGUCCCACCGUUCCAUGAAGUCGGGGUACUCCUUUGGUCUCAGUGA
rnacentral:rRNA from 1 species